AGCUCUGCUCGGGCAAGAAUGGGAUGAGCGCGUCGUCGACACGCGCCGCCCUGGCGAAGUGCGUGAGGAACGGAAAAGAUAUGAGGAUGAAGGUGAGGUGCAUGGCGACGAGCAUCCCGGCAGACAGAGUUCCCGACAUGGGAAAGAGGGAGCUCAUGAAUUUGCUUCUCCUCGGCGCUCUCGCUCUUCCGACCGGCGGGAUGUUGUUUCCUUACACUUACUUCCUCGUUCCACCUGGGUAUGUUUUUUUUCCUCUUCAAUUUUUUUUUUUUGUUGAAACUAAUUUAAUUCGAUUUAGUAGUGAAUAAUUAAUUGAGUCGAUUUAGAUGAAAUUGACAUUGCUAAUUUUGAUUAUUUAUAUGCUCGUAAUUCGAAGGAUUCGCCGGAGAUUAUCUGAAA
rnacentral:lncRNA from 1 species